UACGUAGGGUCCGAGCGUUGUCCGGAAUUAUUGGGCGUAAAGGGCUCGUAGGCGGUUUGUUGCGUCGGGAGUGAAAACUUACAGCUUAACUGUGAGCGUGCUUCCGAUACGGGCAGACUUGAGGUAUUCAGGGGAGAACGGAAUUCCUGGUGUAGCGGUGAAAUGCGCAGAUAUCAGGAGGAACACCGGUGGCGAAGGCGGGUCUCUGGGCCGAUACUGACGCUGAGGAGCGAAAGCGUGGGGAGCAAACAGG
rnacentral:rRNA from 1 species